rnacentral:rRNA from 1 species
UACGAACUGUGCAAACGUUAUUCGGAUUCACUGGGCUUAAAGGGUGCGUAGGCGGCCAUGUAAGUAGGGUGUGAAAUCCCACGGCUCAACCGUGGAACUGCUCGGUAUACUGCGUCGCUUGAGCCAGCUAGGGGCGACCGGAACAAACGGUGGAGCGGUGAAAUGCGUAGAUAUCGUUUGGAACGCCGAUGGUGAAAACAGGUCGCUGGGGCUGUGCUGACGCUGAGACACGAAAGCCAGGGGAGCGAACGGG